CCUACGGGACGCAGCAGUGAGGAAUAUUGGUAAAUGGGCGAGAGCCUGAACCAGCCAAGUCGCGUGAGGGAAGACGGUCCUAUGGAUUGUAAACCUCUUUUGCCGGGGAGCAAAAAGCGGUACGUGUACCGCAUCGAGAGUACCCGGAGAAAAAGAAUCGGAUAACUCCGUGCAAGCAGCCGCGGUAAUACGGAGGAUGCGAGCGUUAUCCGGAUUUAUUGGGUUUAAAGGGGGCGCAGGCGGCGAGUUAAGGCAGCGGAAAAAUUUCGG
rnacentral:rRNA from 1 species